rnacentral:rRNA from 1 species
UACGAAGGGGGCUAGCGUUGUUCGGAAUUACUGGGCGUAAAGCGCACGUAGGCGGAUAUUUAAGUCAGGGGUGAAAUCCCAGAGCUCAACUCUGGAACUGCCUUUGAUACUGGGUAUCUUGAGUAUGGAAGAGGUAAGUGGAAUUGCGAGUGUAGAGGUGAAAUUCGUAGAUAUUCGCAGGAACACCAGUGGCGAAGGCGGCUUACUGGUCCAUUACUGACGCUGAGGUGCGAAAGCGAUGGG